GGGCUCAUAGCUUAGUCCGGCAGAGCAACUGGCUCUUAACCAGUAGGUCGAGGGUUCGAAUCCCUCUGGGCCCA
rnacentral:tRNA from 1 species